CUUGUUGGCUUUAAUUCUAAUCCUCUAAUCUUUCUGAACAUAGAAAGAGGCAUUAGAUUAAUGCGUGCUCCCAAAUCAAUUAGAGUUUUUCCCACUUCUAACUCUCCAAUAGUACAUGGAAUAGUGAAACUUCCCGGAUCUUGCAGUUCAGGAGGUAAUUUCCUUUGUAUGACUGCACUACAGUUUCCUUGCACUUCAAUGGUUUCCUUCUCAACAUACUUCCUCUUUUUCAUAAGCAAUUCUUUUAGAAAUUUAGCAUAUGAGGGCAUUUGCUGAAGUGCCUCAGAAAAUGGUAUGGUUAUUUCCAACUUUCUAAAAAUCUCCAUAAAGCGCUCAAACUGCUUUUCUUUCUCCCUUUUCGAGUAUGUUUUUGGAUAAGGCAAAGGUUUAACAUACUCUUGUUCUUUCAAUUUUUCAACUUCUUCUUUCCUCUCAUCAC
rnacentral:lncRNA from 1 species